GGAUAGGUGCCCUGGAUCCAGCAGACAACCUGGACAAUCCUUCCUCUGCCACUAAUCCCACAAACACAGUAUCCCCAGUUCCCUCCAGGUUAUUCCACUGGCCUUGUGCCCCAGCAGAAUCUUGGCACAGUUCCCUUCCAUUCCAGAGACUUCCCUGAGCUGGUCUGCAUCCAGCCGGAGGAUCAGAGGGUCUCAGACACCUCUGGGGGACCCAGAGCCAAAAAGACAGCAGACAGUCCUGCCUAAGAAAUUACAAGCAAAACAAC